GUCUGACCUGCCCACUGAUUUUUGAAUGGCUGCAGUAAUUUGACUGUACAAAGGUAGCAUAAUCAUUAGUUUUUUAAUUGAAAGCUGGAAUGAAUGGUCGGAUGAGAAAAUUUCUGUCUCAAUUUUAAUUUUUGAAUUUUAUUUUCUAGUAAAAAAGCUUGAAUUUUAUUAAAAGACGAGAAGACCCUAUAGAGUUUGAUAUGAGGAGCGGAAUUAAUUUUAGGUAUUUAUUUUUUAGUUUUUCUUUAUUAUUUAAUUGGGGUGAUUAUAAAAUUUAAAAAACUUUUUUCUUUUUUUACAGAAAUUUCUGGUUAAUUGAUCCAAAAAUUUUGAUUAUAAGAUUGAAUUACCUUAGGGAUAACAGCGUAAUUUUUUUUAAGAGUUCUUAUCGAUAAAAAAGUUUGCGACCUCGAUGUUGGAUUAAAGUUAAAUUUGGGUGAAGGAGCUUAAAUUUUAGGUCUGUUCGACCUUUAAAACUUUACA
rnacentral:rRNA from 1 species